rnacentral:rRNA from 1 species
UUUGUCCUACGGGAGGCAGCAGUGAGGAAUAUUGGUCAAUGGGCGGAAGCCUGAACCAGCCAAGUCGCGUGAGGGAAUAAGGCCCUAUGGGUCGUAAACCUCUUUUGUCAGGGAGCAAAGGCGUCCACGAGUGGACGAAAGGAGAGUACCUGAAGAAAAAGCAUCGGCUAACUCCGUGCCAGCAGCCGCGGUAAUACGGAGGAUGCGAGCGUUAUCCGGAUUUAUUGGGUUUAAAGGGUGCGUAGGCGGAGUGUCAAGUCAGCGGUAAAAUUUCGGGGCUCAACCCCGUCGUGCCGUUGAAACUG